rnacentral:rRNA from 1 species
GGGAUGUGUUAGUGGCAGACGGGUGCGUAACACGUAGGUGACCUACCCUAAAGUGGGGAAUAACCAUUCUAACGGAUGGAUAAUACCGCAUAUGUUCGGCAAUUCGUUUUGUCGAGUAAAGCCGAAAGGCGCUUUGGGACGGGCCUGCGGCGGAUUAGGUAGUUGGUGGGGUGACGGCCUACCAAGCCGACGAUCCGUAGGGGGCGUGAGAGCGUGGCCCCCCACACUGGCACUGAGAUACGGGCCAGACUCCUACGGGAGGCAGCAGUGAGGAAUAUUGCACAAUGGGCGAAAGCCUGAUGCAGCAACGCCGCGUGAGGGACGAAGGCCUUCGGGUCGUAAACCUCUUUUCUGGGGGAAGAGACGGGACGGUACCUCAGGAAUAAGUCUCGGCUAACUACGUGCCAGCAGCCGCGGUAAAACGUAGGAGGCGAGCGUUAUCCGGAUUUACUGGGCGUAAAGCGCGCGCAGGCGGUUCCGUUAGUCGGACGUGAAAGCUCCUGGCUUAACUAGGAGAGGCCGUUCGAUACUGCGGGACUUGAGGUUGGGAGAGGGGUGUGGAAUUCCCGGUGUAGUGGUGGAAUGCGUAGAUAUCGGGAGGAACACCUGUGGCGAAAGCGGCACCCUGGCCCACACCUGACGCUGAGGUGCGAAAGCGUGGGUAGCAAACAGGAUUAGAUACCCCUGGUAGUCCACGCUGUAAACGAUGCAACUGGGGUGUUCCGGUAGUUUUACCACUAAUCGGUGCCGAAGCUAACGCGUUAAGUUGACCGCCGGGGGACUACGGCGCACGCUAAACUCAAAGGAAUUUGACGG